UGGGGGAUUUUGCACAAUGGACGGAAGUCUGAUGCAGCAACGCCGCGUGCGGGAUGACGGCCUUCGGGUUGUAAACCGCUUUUUCUCAUGACGAAGUUUUUUGACGGUAGUGGGGGAAGAAGCACCGGCUAACUACGUGCCAGCAGCCGCGGUGAUACGUAGGGUGCGAGCGUUGUCCGGAAUUAUUGGGCGUAAAGAGCUUGUAGGCGGUUUGUCGCGUCGAUAGUGCAAACUCAGUGCUUAACGCUGAGCCUGCUGUUGAUACGGGCAGACUAGAGGAAGGUAGGGGAGAAUGGAAUUCCCGGUGGAGCGGUGGAAUGCGCAGAUAUCGGGAGGAACACCGGUGGCGAAGGCGGUUCUCUGGGCCUUUCCUGACGCUGAGAAGCGAAAGCGUGGGGAGCGAACAGG
rnacentral:rRNA from 1 species